AGAGUUGAUCAUGGCUCAGAUUGAACGCUGGCGGCAGGCCUAAUACAUGCAAGUCGAACGGUAACAUAGGAAAAGCUUGCUUUCCUGAUGACGAGUGGCGGACGGGUGAGUAAAGUUGGGAAGCUACCUGAUAGAGGGGGACAACAGUUGGAAACGACUGCUAAUACCGCAUACAGCCUGAGGGUGAAAGCAGCAAUGCGCUAUCAGAUGCGCCCAAAUGGGAUUAGCUAGUAGGUGAGGUAAAGGCUCACCUAGGCGACGAUCUCUAGCUGGUCUGAGAGGAUGAUCAGCCACAUUGGGACUGAGACACGGCCCAGACUCCUACGGGAGGCAGCAGUAGGGAAUAUUGCACAAUGGAGGAAACUCUGAUGCAGCCAUGCCGCGUGUGUGAAGAAGGCCUUCGGGUUGUAAAGCACUUUCGGAGGGGAGGAGAAUGACGUUACCCUCAGAAGAAGCACCGGCUAACUCCGUGCCAGCAGCCGC
rnacentral:rRNA from 1 species